rnacentral:rRNA from 1 species
CCUUCAGUCUAGAGUUGACCGUACCGCAAACCGACACAGGUGGGCAGGAUGAAAAUUCUAAGGCGCUUGAGAGAACUCAGGAGAAGGAACUCGGCAAAUUAACACCGUAACUUCGGGAGAAGGUGUGCCCCGGUAGCGUGUAGAGACUUGCUCUCGAAGCGCGAUGGGGUUGCAGUGAAAUGGUGGCUGCGACUGUUUAAUAAAAACACAGCACUCUGCAAACACGAAAGUGGACGUAUAGGGUGUGACGCCUGCCCGGUGCCGGAAGGUUAAGUGAUGGGGUGCAAGCUCUUGAUCGAAGCCCCGGUAAACGGCGGCCGUAACAAUAACGGUCCUAAGGUAGCGAAAUUCCUUGUCGGGUAAGUUCCGACCUGCACGAAUGGCGUAACGAUGGCCACACUGUCUCCUCCUGGGACUCAGCGAAGUUGAAAUGUUUGUGAAGAUGCAAUCUACCCGCGGCUAGACGGAAAGACCCCAUGAACCUUUACUGUAGCUUUGCAUUGGACUUUGAACCGGUUUGUGUAGGAUAGGUGGGAGACUGUGAAGCCGGGACGCUAGUUUCGGUGGAGUCAACCUUGAAAUACCACCCUGAUUUGUUUGAGGUUCUAACCUUGGUCCGUGAAUCCGGAUCGGGGACCGUGCAUGGUAGGCAGUUUGACUGGGGCGGUCUCCUCCCAAAAGGUAACGGAGGAGUACGAAGGUACGCUUAGGGCGGUCGGACAUCGCCCACAAAGUGCAAUGGCAAAAGCGUGCUUGACUGCGAGACCCACAAGUCGAGCAGGUACGAAAGUAGGUCAUAGUGACCCGGUGGUUCUGUAUGGAAGGGCCAUCGCUCAACGGAUAAAAGGUACUCUGGGGAUAACAGGCUAAUUCCUCCCAAGAGUUCAUAUCGACGGGGGAGUUUGGCACCUCGAUGUCGGCUCAUCACAUCCUGGGGCUGUAGUCGGUCCCAAGGGUAUGGCUGUUCGCCUUUUAAAGUGGUACGCGAGCUGGGUUUAAAACGUCGUGAGACAGUUUGGUCCCUAUCUGCCGUGGGCGCUGGAAAUUUGAAGGGGGUUGCUCCUAGUACGAGAGGACCGGAGUGGACGAACCUCUGGUGUACCGGUUAUGACGCCAGUCGUAUCGCCGGAUAGCUAAGUUCGGAAGAGAUAAACGCUGAAAGCAUCUAAGUGUGAAACUCGCCUUAAGAUAAGAUUUCCCGGAGUCUUGAACUCCCUGAAGGGUCGUCGAAGACCACGACGUUGAUAGGUCAGGUGUGGAAGCGCAGCAAUGCGUUAAGCUAACUGAUACUAAUUGCCCGUGCGGCUUGAUCCU